ACUUUGAUCAAUAGCUGAUCUGAGAGGAUGAUCAGCCACAUUGGGACUGAGACACGGCCCAAACUCCUACGGGAGGCAGCAGUAGGGAAUAUUGCACAAUGGAGGAAACUCUGAUGCAGCGAUGCCGCGUGAGUGAAGAAGGCCCUUGGGUUGUAAAGCUCUUUCGUCGGGGAAGAAAAUGACUGUACCCGAAUAAGAAGGUCCGGCUAACUUCGUGCCAGCAGCCGCGGUAAUACGAAGGGACCUAGCGUAGUUCGGAAUUACUGGGCUUAAAGAGUUCGUAGGUGGUUAAAAAAGUUGGUUGUGAAAUCCCGGAGCUUAACUCCGGAACUGCAAUCAAAACUUUUUAGCUAGAGUAUGAUAGAGGAAAGCAGAAUUUCUAGUGUAGAGGUGAAAUUCGUAGAUAUUAGAAAGAAUACCAAUUGCGAAGGCAGCUUUCUGGAUCAUUACUGACACUGAGGAACGAAAGCAUGGGUAGCGAAGAGGAUUAGAUACCCUCGUAGUCCAUGCCGUAAACGAUGUGUGUUAGACGUUGGAAAUUUAUUUUUAGUGUCGCAGCGAAAGCAAUAAACACACCGCCUGGGGAGUACGACCGCAAGGUUAAAACUCAAAUGAAUUGACGGGGACCCGCACAAGUAGUGGAGCAUGUGGUUUAAUUCGAAGAUACGCGCAGAACCUUACCAACACUUGACAUGUUCGUCGCGACUCUAAGAGAUUAGAGUUUUCGGUUCGGCCGGACGAAACACAGGUGCUGCAUGGCUGUCGUCAGCUCGUGUCGUGAGAUGUUGGGUUAAGUCCCGCAACGAGCGCAACCCUCACUUUUAGUUGCCAUCAUUUAGUUGGGCACUCUGAAAGAACUGCCAGUGAUAAGCUGGAGGAAGGUGGGGAUGACGUCAAGUCCUCAUGGCCCUUACGU
rnacentral:rRNA from 1 species